rnacentral:rRNA from 1 species
CAGUCGACGAACUUCUUUAUCACCGAGUGCUUGCACUCACCGAUAAAGAGUUGAGUGGCGAACGGGUGAGUAACACGUGGGCAACCUGCCCAAAAGAGGGGGAUAACACUUGGAAACAGGUGCUAAUACCGCAUAACCAUAGUUACCGCAUGGUAACUAUGUAAAAGGUGGCUAUGCUACCGCUUUUGGAUGGGCCCGCGGCGCAUUAGCUAGUUGGUGGGGUAAAGGCUUACCAAGGCAAUGAUGCGUAGCCGAACUGAGAGGUUGAUCGGCCACAUUGGGACUGAGACACGGCCCAAACUCCUACGGGAGGCAGCAGUAGGGAAUCUUCCACAAUGGGCGAAAGCCUGAUGGAGCAACGCCGCGUGGGUGAAGAAGGUCUUCGGAUCGUAAAACCCUGUUGUUAGAGAAGAAAGUGCGUGAGAGUAACUGUUCACGUUUCGACGGUAUCUAACCAGAAAGCCACGGCUAACUACGUGCCAGCAGCCGCGGUAAUACGUAGGUGGCAAGCGUUAUCCGGAUUUAUUGGGCGUAAAGGGAACGCAGGCGGUCUUUUAAGUCUGAUGUGAAAGCCUUCGGCUUAACCGGAGUAGUGCAUUGGAAACUGGGAGACUUGAGUGCAGAAGAGGAGAGUGGAACUCCAUGUGUAGCGGUGAAAUGCGCAGAUAUAUGGAAGAACACCAGUGGCGAAAGCGGCUCUCUGGUCUGUAACUGACGCUGAGGUUCGAAAGCGUGGGUAGCAAACAGGAUUAGAUACCCUGGUAGUCCACGCCGUAAA